rnacentral:rRNA from 1 species
AUUGAACGCUGGCGGCAGGCCUAACACAUGCAAGUCGAACGAGUGGCGGACGGGUGAGUAAUGGAUGGGAAACUGCCUGAUGGAGGGGGAUAACUACUGAAAACGGUAGCUAAUACCGCAUACCAUCGGAUGUGCCCAGAUGGGAUUAGAUAGUAGGUGGGUUAAAGGCUCACCUAGGCGACGAUCCCUAGCUGGUGUGAGAGGAUGACCAGCCACACUGGAACUGAGACACGGUCCAGACUCCUACGGGAGGCAGCAGUGGGGAAUAUUGCACAAUGGGCGCAAGCCUGAUGCAGCCAUGCCGCGUGUAUGAAGAAGGCCUUCGGGUUGUAAAGUACUUUCAGCGGGGAGGCGUUACCCGCAGAAGAAGCACCGGCUAACUCCGUGCCAGCAGCCGCGGUAAUUC